CAAAUCCCCCACCUCCCCUCCACCUUCUGCCGUGCCACCACCGCUCCGCCCCCGUCCAUGUUCUCCCACGCCGCCUCUGCCUCACCCCGCCCCCGUCCACCUUCUGCGGCGUCGCCUCCGCCUCGCCCCACCCCAGCCCCGUCCACUUCUGUCGCGCCGCCGCCAUCUCGCCCUUCCCCGUCCACCUUCUGCCGCGCUGCCACAGCGCCACCACCCAAACUCCGGGCCAUCCGCGCCGCGCGGCACGACGCCCGCCGCCACCGGUCACCGACACCUUCCCCCCGUUAGCCGUGCCUCUAGUUCGGCCGCAGGCUGCUCCCCCGCAGCGGGCCGGAGACGGGAUCCGGCCCGUCCCAGCCACCCGACAACUGAUCCGACCCGGAACACUGCUUGAGGGGACAUCAUCUCCGACUCCGGUGAGUUCCACGGCCGCCGCACUGCCGUUAGCCUGCCUGGCUUCCCUCUGGAUCUCCCCGCCCUUCUUCUCUGUCUCCCGGUGAGCGGCAAAAAAUACUGCGGGCGCGAGCUGCAUCUAGUCCGCCGUCGUCCCCCUGUAGGAUCCAUCCGCCUUCCUGCUGGAUCCGAGCCUCCUCAACGGCAUUAGCCUAUGUGGCAGGUGAGCCAAAGCCAGGUCCCGUGCGGGUGGCCCGCAACCAGCGGCCGACCCUGCCUCCGUCUACAGCCGCCGCCAACACCCUUCCCUCUCUAUACUCGGUCGUGCAGUUCUGCCGGUGAGUCCGUGCAGCUUGCCGAUGUCGAAAUUGCAGCUCAGUCGGCAAGCGCGGGGGCACGGGAGUCCUGGUGCCACAUGCAGGAGGAGGGAUCGUGCUCAACUACACCCUCCCCUCUGUUUUGUGAUUCGUCUCAUGUGGCAAUGCUGUUCGAUACAUCGGAUUAUUUCCCUGAGCUCGCAUUUUCUGGUGAGCCUGUGCAGUACGAUGGCGGGUGUCUGCAGUGCGGACGGUGAGCAUGUGCAGUAUGAUAGUGGGUGCCUACAGUGCAGACGGUGAGAACGUGCAGUAAGAUGGCCUCCUCUGCGGUCCAGUGACCAUCGCCGUGCAGCUCGGCCACAAGAGUGAUGUGGUACACUUGCAGAAAUUUGUAGUUUUUGCUUGCAGGUAGUGUGCGCUCCUUCAGGUGAGCUCGCCUCCUUGCAGUCCGUCGGCGCGUCCGUGUAGUGCGGCCCGUGCAUGUGUGCAGUCUGUGGUGCGUGGGAAGCAGCUCGCAAAAGGUCUCAUGGAGUUAUUUUGCCCCUGUGCAGCUCGGUUGCCGCCUCCAUGCAGUUCGGUUGACUCACUGCUGUAGUAGGUCGCCAGUGUGUGCGUGCAGGUCAGUGCGAGCGGGCAUGCAGAUCAGUUCUUUCGGGCGGCAUUGCGCCAUGGUAGUUUAGUGUGUCUGUGUGGGUUUUUUCAUAUUAUUUUGGCCAUGUGAAUGAAUUCUUGUAUGUAAUGUAUAUGUUGGGUGUAUUCAGUUCACCCAAAAACAAACACAAGAUUUUUAUAAAAACUAUUGCAGUACACUUACAAA